rnacentral:rRNA from 1 species
UACAGAGGUCUCGAGCGUUAGGCGGAAUCACUGGGCUUAAAGCGUGUGUAGGCGGAUGCCUAAGUACCUUGUGAAAUCCCACAGCUUAACUGUGGAACUGCUUGGUAUACUGGCGAUCUUGAGCCACUUAGGGGCUACCGGAACAAAUGGUGGAGCGGUGAAAUGCGUAGAUAUCAUUUGGAACGCCAAUGGUGAAAACAGGUAGCUGGGAGUGUGCUGACGCUGAGACACGAAAGCCAGGGGAGCAAACGGG